CCUUUUUGCAAGUAGUCACAUGGAAAAGAUGAGGGAUAAUGGGUACAAGUUACUCCUAGGAAGAUUCUUAUUGGACACGAGGAAAAUUUUGGACACGAGGACAGUGAGAACAAUCAGCCAUUGGAAUAAUCUCCCCAGGGAAGUGGUGGACUCCCCAACACUGGACACUCUUCAGAUAUAGCUGGACAGGAUGCUGGGACAUUUUGUAUAGGCCAGGCUUUG